GCAGUUAUUGGGUAUCAAAACCUAAUAGCGAAAUUAACAUAACUUAUUAUGGGAUUAGUUUUUAGAUUAUUUAUAGUCUAUUAAUUCAAUCCCGGGGCGUUCUAUUUGGUUAUGUAUAAUAAUAUUUAUAUUAUUUAUACCUCUAACUAGAGCGUACCUUGAGCAUAUAUGCUGUGACCCGAAAGAUGGUGAACUAUACUUGAUCAGGUUGAAGUCAGGGGAAACCCUGAUGGAAGACCGAAACAGUUCUGACGUGCAAAUCGAUUGUCAGAAUUGAGUAUAGGGGCGAAAGACCAAUCGAACCAUCUAGUAGCUGGUUCCCUCCGAAGUUUCCCUCAGGAUAGCUGGUGCAUUUAGAAAUUAUGUAAAAUAAUCUUAUCUGGUAAAGCGAAUGAUUAGAGGCCUUAGGGUCGAAACGACCUUAACCUAUUCUCAAACUUUAAAUGGGUAAGAACCUCACCUUUCUUGGUAUGAAGGUUGUGGUUGUGAUAUAAUGUGCCCAGUGGGCCACUUUUGGUAAGCAGAACUGGCGCUGUGGGAUGAACCAAACGUAAUGUUACGGUGCCCAAAUUAACAACUCAUGCAGAUACCAUGAAAGGCGUUGGUUGCUUAAAACAGCAGGACGGUGGACAUGGAAGUCGUAAUCCGCU
rnacentral:rRNA from 1 species